rnacentral:rRNA from 1 species
AGGGCACCACCAGGAGUGGAGCCUGCGGCUUAAUUUGACUCAACACGGGAAACCUCACCCGGCCCGGAUACGGACAGGAUUGACAGAUCGAUAGCUCUUUCUCGAUUCCGUGGGUGGUGGUGCAUGGCCGUUCUUAGUUGGUGGAGCGAUUUGUCUGGUUAAUUCCGAUAACGAACGAGACUCUGGCAUGCUAACUAGUUACGCGACCCCCCGAGCGGUCGGCGUCCCCCAACUUCUUAGAGGGACAAGUGGCGUUCAGCCACCCGAGAUUGAGCAAUAACAGGUCUGUGAUGCCCUUAGAUGUCCGGGGCUGCACGCGCGCUACACUGACUGGCUCAGCGUGUGCCUACCCUACGCCGGCAGGCGCGGGUAACCCGUUGAACCCCAUUCGUAAUGGGGAUCGGGGAUUGCAAUUAUUCGCUAUAAACUAUAAAUUCCAAGGAAGUGCAAGUCAAAAGCUUGUGUUUAAUUAAUUCCUUGCACUUGUACACUCCUCUCAUCUCUAUUACAAAUUGAAAU